GUCAUGCUUUUCCACAGCUUUCUUGAACUUUCUUUUACUGCUUAGGAAGCUCAAGAAAGCUGUGGGAGAACAUGGC
rnacentral:pre_miRNA from 1 species